rnacentral:lncRNA from 1 species
AGUUUCUUUGCCUAACUCUGAGUUGCUUGAGUCACAUUUUUGCAUGGUUCUUGAUUGACUUUCUGGUGCUCUGCCUGGAGGUCUUUGCUUAUCUGUGAGUUGCCUGAGUCACAUUUUUACAUGGUUCUGGUGCUCUGCCUGCAGGUCAAGAAGGAGCCAGUAUCUCCAGGAGGAGUGAGAGAGUGCUCUGCCAGUGUGAAGUGUGAAUCCUUGAGAGGCUGUGGCAAGGGUCCAUGCCUGAAUGUGUAGAACAAGAACAGCUGGAGGCUGUGGCUUUCUCCAGGAAGAGGUUUCUAAAUCUGCCUCUUAGAAGAUAUCAGAAAGUUAAAGUUUCUCUUGCUGCCGCCGUGUAAGAAGGACCUUUUGCCUCCCACCAUGAUUCUAAGUCCUCCCCAGCCACGUGGAACUGCUUUCAUUUGGUCUCUUUUCGAAUCAGAAGACCCAGAAAACUUGGAUCCACUUCUGGCUCUCAUCCCUCUGGGCAGUGUGAUUUGGAUUGAGCAGAUGCUCCGGCUGCCACUCCAUCAUAUAUUGGAAACAGCAUUACUUUAUAGUAAAUCAUGACCACGGUGUAUGGCAAUGAAGUUGCAUCUGAAGCAGCCGGCACCCUAUGUGCUAGCUGGCUUUUAGACCAGGAGACUGUGAAUCUGUGGUCAGGAUCUCUUUAGGGCUGCUAAAUAUAUACUACCCACUAUCACUCGCUGGAGCUGCAGACCCUAGUUUUAGAGUUUCACUUCUUAAAGACCUUCAUCCUUAUUAAAAUGGUAAUAUCCUUACUGUCA